UCUUCCUGCAGUUCUCACGUCCUUCAGGGAGACUCCACCUUCUAAAGGUUCCAGACUCCUCCCUACGGCACCCCCAGCUGAGUUCAGACACAGGAGACUGUAUGAAAGGGGAGGCACUCCUCCUUCAAAACCAGAACAUAAGGCUUUAACUUUGUCAUUUUUUAGACUUACUAGCCUUAAAAAAGAGUCGUUACAAAAUGUUGUGUCAUCAUGCCAAGGACAGAGAACUGUGGAGUCACCCAAUUUUCCCUGUGUCCAUGUGGCUUCUGAAGCAAUUUCAAUGCUGGCCAUGAAGUAUACCACACUGCACACUCCGGAUUCUGAGAAGCUGCUGACUGUGAAACUGUGCUGUUUAGCUGUGGGAUAGUUGGCCCCAUACAGGAACCCAUAAAAGAACAUUGGAUGAUGCCGAGUCAGGAGUUACAGGUGGUGCUGAGCCACAGUGUUGUUGCUUGGUAUUGAACCCUGGUCCUCUGGAACAGCUAGCAGGUUUCCCCAUCAUGAGCUUGAUGCCCCUUGCUCAUGGAAUACUUCUUCUCUGUCUUCGACUG